GGGGGGCGGGGGAGAGGGGGGGGGUGGUGUUUGAAAAAGAACGAGAAUAGGUCAUUUUGAAGAGGUUGAUUUUUUAACCGACUUCGAAAAGGAGAAGGUUACUCAAUUCGACGUGUAUUUUUUUUUUUUUUUUUAAUCCAGUAAUUGGUCGCACGUCAGUGAAUAAUACAAAAAUACUGCCAGACGUUUUGCGUGGAUAACCAAAGGUUGAAAGAUGCCCACCAAGUUGCGUCGUUGCAAGGGUUACUUUACUAGGUCUGGCAGCCCUUGUGUUCGACGCAGAACGUCUGGCAAUAUUUUUAUCAUUAUUCCCUAUCUUCGUUCUUUUUCAAUUAAUAGAGUUUCCCAAGAACGGUUUAUUUUCACUUGAGACUGUCCCCAGCGAAGUCGUCACCGCCACGUGUUUACCCUAAACACGACUUUCCUUUUUCCGAGUCAGUAUUACUUCUUGCAUUUAGAUCGCGUUUCUUUCGAUCGACCGCGUUUAUCGUCGUUACUUCUUAAAUAAAAAGGAAGACGAACCCCACGGAAGAUUACGCAAGGGACGUCUUCUGGGGGUAGAUAAGACGACGGAAAGAAGCGUCUCCUCGCAGCUGGGUAGCGGUUCGAUGCCUGGUAACGGCGUACACGAAUUUUUUUUUUUCCUUCUCUCCUUCUUUUUUUUUCGCAAUCUGCCUUCCCUGGAAACGCUUCGGUUUAGAAUACUCGCUCGCGCGUACUCCGACAGAAAUUUCAUCUUCCCGACCCCCGACGCGCUUAUUUAUCCGACCGUUCUGGUUUAGAACGGCUCGAAGCGAGCUCCCGACGCGUACACGUAUACACUGUGUACCGAAACGUAGCCGUGGAAUCACGGAAGAACCGGAGAUUCUACGAAAGACGAGGCGAGAGCGCGGAAGAAAAUUUCCUCGCGAGGAACUCUUCGCUCUGGAGUGGAUCGAUCUCGAGAAUAUACGCGGACCACACGUGCGCGUUCGACUAACGAGGGAAGUUUCCCUAUCGGAAAGUCGAGAGGAAAAAUUGAAACUUUGCGGAAACGUAGCUUUAACUGUACCGAUAACUAGCCUGAGGAUGUUUAUGCAAACUCGGAUUUUUACGGAUACAGAAAACGAACUUUAACUCAACUUUCUGUGGACCAAAUUUUUCUUUAUUUGCAGACACUUUGAGAGGCGUUUACUUUUAAAAAAAAACUGGAAUCACUUGGUACACAGGUUCGUAGAGGGUUAAACGAAAGUGUCUCACUUUCUAAAUGGAACAGCAUAUAUUAGGUCGUCCUAUGAGUUCGUGCCGAAGACUGUGUCGAAAUGUAAUGAAAAACCACAGAAAUUUUCUAGCGACAGUACAAAUGGCUAUAUGAGAGAGAUGAGAAACUAUUGUGAAAUGAGACAGAUUAUCUUUUCUUGUGACACUUGAGAGUAUGUUUCGCGUAUUAAUUUGAGAAACAGAAGUAUAAAUGGCACGAACUUUUAGGACGACCUAAUAUAUUAUCGUUGAUAUUUAAUACACUUUUGCAUUUCUGCAUGCUCUCGCACCCUUCUCGAUGCUAUCAUUUGCCGCAAAUGCAUAAACAUCUCCUGAUAACUAUUUUCUGUUUAUGCACGUUUCUGCAGCGUUUCGAAAUUCUUUUAAUAUCGUCGAGUUGCCAAGCAUUCUUCGUAAAAAACAAUAUCGCGGUCCAUGCGUAUUUUGCCCAACACUUGCGGUUCCCAAUCUCGAAAUCGCUCUGCCCUUUCUCGAAGUUCGCGCAGAAAUUUUACUCCGCAUUCACGACUUAUCGUUCCGCGAUCGAUUGGCUCCGUUCGAGUCGCAACCCGAAUGGGAGGCAUCGAGCAGAGAAUAGAAAGGAAAAGGGGAAUACGCCGUGGUUCCGGUAAUUCUUUAUUUCGCGUUGCAUUCGGUGAAUACGUGUAUCCGUCGCGAGCGAUUAUCGUGUUUCCUCUCUUCUCCCCCCCCCCCCACCGUCUAUCCACUCGUUCGAUUUUCGUCUUCUUUCUUUUUUCUUUUCGUUUCUUUUUCGUCCCGCCGUCCGCAAAAGUCUGUUGUUUGAUCGUCGUAGCCGGCGAGACCGAAAAGGCCGGUAUAUUUACUCUGUAACAAAACAAAAAAAAAAAGAAGAAAAAAAAAAGAAAAACGUGCUUCCUCCGUAAGCGGGUACGAGAAAAGUCUGGCAUGAAGUAUUUUGUCCUACGUCGCGCGUAAUAACGAACUAUAAUGUAAUAAAUGUACGGUCAAAGCUUCUUCUUAAUUCACGGAGAUGCGUGUGUGCGCGCGUCGUGUUUAAACGGUGAAAAAAAAAAAAAAAAAGAAGAAGAAGAAGAAGAAGAAGAAAUGAAAGAAAGAGACGGGAAGAGAGUAUCUGUGCCUCGCCCUCCGCUAUACUUGUGAACGUACUUUUGUGCGUACACAAAAGCUCGAUUCACGUUCGACGGGCCGUCGUGAGAGCGAGACGAAAAGGAAAAGAGUACGGGGACGGAAGAAAAAGAAACGGUACGGGUUAGAUAAGACGGCGCAAAGUACGCCUAUCCCACGAUUUACACGGAAGAUCCUCGAAAUAUCGUGGAUUAUCAAAGUGGAAGGUUUCGUGCGGAAUCGCGUCAAAAAUUUAAAAAAAUGUAGAUAAUUCAAUCGUUUGAAGAACUUUUAGUGGAUUCGGGCUGUACAAGCGAAGCUUUUGUUUUCGACAGUCUUUAUAUAGAUCAAGGAUAUUUUGAAAUUCCUGCAAAAAAAAAAACAAAAAUAUCGUGUAAAUCGAGGCACAGGUGUGCACCACUUGAGUUUUCCACCGGUUCGUGCCCGUCGAACGCGAACCGAGCCUCGACGGAUCAUCGGGGCGCGUACACGCGCGCGUACACACCUUUAUAGUUCACUACUGUUAACUCGGCCUUAAACAAAAUGACGUAAACUGCCUCAAAUUAUUUAAUAUAUUAACGAGCUAGCGCCCUCGCUACUUUGACUGAAUACAAAGCCUAAUCUCCUGUAUAAUUAUACAUACAUAUUAUAUAUAAAUAUAAAUAUAUAUAUAUUAUUAACGAUCGCAUCGCGAGCACGCGUGAUCGCGCGGAGAGCGAAGGAAAAAAGGAAAUUGGGGGAAGACAAGAGGGAAUGAGUGAUGCCUAUGUGUAUAGAUAAUGAUCGAUCGAAAAAGAGCAUAGAUAGAUAGAUAGAUAGAGAGAGAGAGAGAGAACGAGAGUGUGCGUGUGUAUGUGUGCGCGUAUAUGUGGAAGAGACAAAACACGCAGCGUGUAGCGCAUUUCUAAACGAAAGCUGUUCGCGAGCGCCGCUGGAUUAGAGGACGGCGUAGAGAGCGUAUAUCGAUUCAAACCCGGUAACGUUAACUCCUCGUUUAUCGCGAUAUAGGAUUUAUCGGUUGGAAAGGAGAAACGGUCUUUCCGCUGGCCAGAGGAGGACUAAAAGCGGAGGGUAGAACGAGAAGAGGGACGAAAAGGGGGUUCGAGGCCGCCGCGACGUAGAUCUCGUUGCUCUCGCGAGACGCACACACGAGAUGCUUCGGAUAAGCGACGAGGAACGCUCGAAGGUACUCCGUAGAGCACGAACGAGGACACGCUGAGACGAGUUUAAAUGGAAGGUUUAGUUUUGCCAAGGAAAGAAAAACCAGGGGGGGGGGGGAACGGAGAAUAAAGAGGCGUUUGAGUCGAGACGAGGGAUGACAAUUCGACCACCAGCCGGUACCCCGGAUCAAGAGGGACCCACAGAAGUCCCUCUCUUCGGGGUGUCCACGUCUCUGGCCCGGGGCUGCCGUAAGUUGAGCAAAAGCAGACGCGUCGAGCCUUACGGCGACGUAUUAAGAAAUAGCAGACGGGGGAACUCGGUACAGAGCGUGUAAGAAACAAGGAUACAUAGCGAUUUGCGACGUCAUGUUCGGCUCGACGCGUUGAGCUUUCGCAGAGCUUAGACAAGAAACGACGAUACGGGGAUGUAGCUUUCCUCCCAUGUUCUAUGUGACACGUUAUGCCAGGCCCGAUCGAGCCUCGCAACCCUGCGUACGACCCUAAAUGGUCUCGCGUAUUCGAAAUCGUCAACGUUCCUCUCGGCUCCGAGCCUCUUCCAGGAGACCGAGUGUCUCGAAGGACGGCCUGGGUUCCCGCAUUAUAGGGGCACGAGGAAUACACACGACAAUAAGGAUCGUAGACGGUCGAACACGAUCCAUGCACCCCAACCAGCGGAGAGUUAAUCGAGAAACGGACGAACUCCUACGGCUUUUAUGGCUCCGCUCGUAAAGAUAUACCCGAGGCUCUUUUUCUGUGGAACUCGGGUGGGGUCCCCUUCGAACACCCGGUCCAGGAACACUGGGGCAGAAACGCCGACGGAGUAGGUAGACAGGCGAGAGGGCGGUAAGGGCAGGUACGCGGUCGAAGGUAAAGCUCCUCUUGCAAAGGGAUGAGGAGCGAGCGAGCCGAGCAGGUAGUUUGCUCCAGGAAAGCACCGAUCCAAGCAUAAAGCGAACCGUAGCCAUUUUCGAUCCGGCGAUCCUCUCCUGCUUCCACCCGAAUUACAAUGUUCUUGACCGUGGCUGGACCCCUGUCCAAGGGUCCACGCGAAUUUUUCUUAAAUUGGGCCUCCCCCGAUCUUCGCGAUGAAUGAUCCUCCUCGAUCCCUCGGCCUCUCUCUCUCUCUCUCUCCCCCCCCCCCCCCCCUCCCUCGCGGCCUGGAGAAAGAGGACUGUUAGCCUCGCUCCUCGAUUGAAAAGCUAAGCUUAAAAAGCACGAAGCGCGCCUAACAAUGACCCUGUUCCUCUGACGCACCGAAUUGUUCGCGUACCGAGAGUACACCGAGCGAUUCAACGAACACACGUAACGCGGCACGUUAUGCUAUUCUUCGUACCCGCACACCCGGUUCCACCGCUCACGUACACGCACGCAUGUCGGCCCUGGUAAUUCUUUACCCUCGUAAUUCGCUUCGAGUUACCGAGUCUUUUUGAACGCCGCCCGGAGUUGUUUCUUCCCUUUUUCUCUCUUUUUUUUUUUACCCAGCGGUUCAUAUCCGCGAGCUUUUCGGUUCACCUUGUACGCCAUCCGUGGACUUUCUCGGAACGGGGCGUUCCCGUGAGUAAUUUUCGUUUUCCUGCGACAACGUAUGACCAAUUUGUCCAAUUUUCCGUGGAACUCGUUCGCUCGGUUUCGACGCGUUCGCGUGUUUUUUUUUUCUUUUUUUUUUUUUUUCUUUACAAUGCCUCCGCGGCUGUGCGUCAACCGAAGCCUUAAGUGCUUCGUCAUUGAAGCCUACCGGCUGUCUCGUGGUUUCGAAGAUUUAGAAACGUCCACGGUUUCCAUUUAAAACUGCUUCGAGGGCACCCUUCUAAGACAUCCUUUCGCGAUGUUAGCGUUCGUUAGACCGGGGAUGAUUAUUUUAUCUUCUAAAUGGAGCGAUAGGUGUAUCUUUCGUGUAUCUUUGGAUUUGUGUAGCUUCUCAUCAAUUUCCCCGUGUAACGAUUUACUAUGAAUGUCUAGACGUAGUUUGGUGGUGAUUAUGAAAAAGUUGAACGUGAAAUUUUUCUUCUGUCUCGCUUUAAUACGGUAUAUUUUUCGAUUCUAAAAUGUUUCGCGAUCGUCAGCAAAACUGUCAUUUUGAUAUAAAAGCAACCGUACGUACGCGUGCCGAUAUACCUCAGGGGUGCGACAGUAUCAAAAAUAAAAUUUGUUUAAUAGAAAACUAUUUAGACAUACCAAUCUCAAAUUUCGCGCCUUUAUUCGUACAAUCUCGUUAAAAAUAUUUGAAAUCGUUAUCGAGGUUUGGAAAAACGUACACAGUUGGUUCGAGCCUGGAUCGCCGCGCUGGGGGGUUUCGAUCUUUCGAUAGUCAAACCGGAGGGUAGAUAGCGGAAAGAGCGAGAAGUGCAGAGGGAGGAGGCGCGAUUCCCGAAAGCACCGAGCCGGGCCAUAAAGGAGAGACGUCCAUGUGUCACGAACGUCAGGAUAUUAUGGGUUACUGUCUAUGGAUAGUCCCAGCGAUUUGAAACGAUGGACCACGCCCAAAAUGCCUGCCAUCUCCGCUUCGACAAAAUUUCUCUCUCUGGCUCUCUCGCAUUUCUCUCUCGUCCCGUUCCUCUCUGGACGAUCGAUCCUCUUUCCUCGCGACACAAGCUGGCAAAAAUUUACCGCCGGUAAAAGUCGAACCACGAAACGGGACAGCCGAAUACGCCCCUAGCUGGAGCGACCCGAGGCCUGCCUCUCUGGCCAAUCGAUAACCACCUCUUGGUGCCUCCACCGUUUGACAGCCUUCGCGACAUUUCUCUCCGUGGGUUAUUUCUCUCUUCCUUUCCUAUUUUUACGCCCACCGAUUGCCUAUCGUACUUUCGUCGCUUCUCUUUUCUACUCUCACCUUUCCUUUCGUUCCCUCGACCGACGACCCCGACGCGACAUUUUCCUUCCCCUCGUGAAAGCGGAACGACUACGCGCCCCCCCCCCCCCCCCCCCCCCCGUUGGUAAAAAACGAAAAAUUAACGUUCGUUUCGCGUCGAUCAGAUUUUUUUUCUGCUCGGUUUUCGCCACGUGCUCUCCUCGUCUCGAACGCUGCUCGCUCGAAUCGCUCCGCAGAUGGGUAAAAUGUCUCGAUUGGAAGUAUCGAAUAAGUUACGAGAGAUCCGUUACGUAAUUAAAAGUCGAAAGGGUUGCGAAGCGUAUAAAAUUCGAAUUGUUGCGUAACGCGUGCAAUUUGGAUUCUACGCGCUUCCCACGGCCCACGCAAACGUUUAAACAAGAAUAAACCGAUCCAGCAACAUUUUGCCCGCAUCUGCCCAUGUGGCACCUCCACCGUCUCCAGCAUGCUGCGAUCUCGAGUUUAGAGGCGACCCGGUGCACAGCAAUGGUAGUAUCGGUUCUAUCGAUCACCGAAGUCGAGCCGAGUACAAUGCGCUACGGUGCCCUAGCGGGUGAUUAUUUAGGGGCUCAACCCGCGUGAAUGUUUCGAUCCCCGACCCGUCGAUCGCAGUUAACGCGGAUAACAACAAUUACGAGUUGUCGUCCAAUGAUGGAAGGUCGAGGAACCAUUGGGAAACGAUUGUUGUUUUUCCUAUGGUUUAAUCGCGAUUAAAUAAUAUCACGUUCGAAUGACCUAAAAAGCUCCCUGCUUGAAAAGCUUUCGCGAGUGUCUCCUCUGUCUCGCUUCGAACUCAUUUCCUGCGCACGUGGGAACGCAGCUUUACGUUUCGAUCGAGCGUAUCUAUCAUCCGUUCGCUUUGGAAAGCGUUUACCUUGCUCGAUCGUUCGUUAAAGUUCGCGAGCCAAUGUUGCUUCUUUGCUCAGAGCUCGAGGAAGCGUGUUUCCCCAUCGCAAGAGGAGAACGCACUUUGCCUUUUCUUUUUCUUUCUUUCUCUGCGCGAAACAGCGAUAGAAGAAUGCGUACUUCUACCCUCUACUUUUUAUUUUUCUUUAUGCGCGUAACUGCGCCUCGUGUCGCUUCGUUUUCGCCGACGAUCCUUCUCGGUUCCUCGAACAGUCACGGGAAGGACUAUUGGGGGGGGGGGGGGGGAUGAGGCUAGCUAACCAACUACUACACUACUGUAUUAUCGAUAAAGGAAAAUGAUUAAAAAAAAAAAAAAGAACAUACCUACGCAUUUAAGAUAAUGUACAAGUCUCUAGUGUGAUACAUUUCUACGCUUAUUCUCUAACUAGUAGUCAUGAAGUCUAAAGUAAACGAUACCUCGUUGUGGUUUGUAACGCGGAUAAAACGAAAAAAAAAAAAAACGUAGCUCUGUAAUAGGAUAAA